UACGUAGGGGGCGAGCGUUGUCCGGAAUCAUUGGGCGUAAAGCGCGUGUAGGCGGCUCGAUAAGUCCGGUGUGAAACCUUGGGGCUCAACCCCAAGCCUGCACUGGAUACUGCCGAGCUAGAGUCCGGGAGGGGAGAGCGGAAUUCCUAGUGUAGCGGUGAAAUGCGCAGAUAUUAGGAAGAACACCAGUGGCGAAGGCGGCAUCCUGGACCGGUAUUGACGCUGAGGCGCGAAAGCUAGGGUAGCAAACGGG
rnacentral:rRNA from 1 species